UACGUAGGGGGCAAGCGUUGUUCGGAAUUACUGGGCGUAAAGGGCGCGUAGGCGGCACGGCAAGUCAGGAGUGAAAGGCCUGGGCUCAACCCGAGGAACUGCUUUUGAGACUGCCGAGCUAGAGUGCAGAAGGGGCAACUGGAAUUCCCAGUGUAGCGGUGAAAUGCGUAGAUAUUGGGAAGAACACCUGAGGCGAAGGCGGGUGCUGGGCUGACACUGACGCUGAGGCGCGAAAGCCAGGGGAGCAAACGGG
rnacentral:rRNA from 1 species